AAGUAAACCGGAUGUUGUGGCGUGUCGUAACAUACGCAUAUUCAAUCCAGCGUUUGUCACCACAGUAACGGUAUUACAGUAAUGUUUACAAUACGCGUUUGUAUCAUUUAUUUGAACGUGUCAGUGCCUGUUUACGAAGCAGAACUGGCACAUCCAAUAUGGCGGACGUGCUGACGUUCCACAGCAACUCAAUGUGGGUUCUAUUUACUUGUGCUGCCUAACCCUGUGUUAGCAGCUAGCGCUCUGGACGGCCGAUCGUUUGCGAAGCUCGCUGGACGGAGAAUCGCCGAUUGUUUUGCCGAACUGGCUCACUGUAAUUUGGAACGACACACGUCCAUCGUUUUCUCCAAUUGUCCAUCCGAUGAAAAGACGUUGUUGUUGGCGCGGCAGGCGAAGAUGUGCGAGGAGCAGACGGUGUCUCUGGUGGACGUCGUGCAGGAGGACGACGAGCUGCAAGAAGAAGCUUCCGCCGUGCUGGCGGGAAGCGACUCGGAGCGCUGCUCGUAUCCGCAGGGCUACGUGAAGCGUCAGGCUCUGUACGCCUGCAACACGUGCACGCCGAAAGGAGGCCAAGCGGCCGGCGUAUGUUUGGCGUGUUCCUACAAGUGUCACGAAGGUCACGACCUGUUUGAGCUCUACACCAAGAGGAACUUCCGCUGCGACUGCGGAAACGGGAAGUUUGCGGACGUGCCGUGUAAACUCUUUCACGCCAAGGAUGACGUCAACGGCUUGAACAAAUACAGCCACAACUUCUUCGGGGAGUACUGCACUUGCCGCCGGCCGUACCCCGACCCGGAAGACCAGGUGGACGAUGAAAUGAUUCAGUGCGUGUUGUGCGAGGACUGGCUGCACGGCCGGCACCUCGGCUGCGACGUCCCCGACUGCGUGGAGCUGCGCGAGAUGAUCUGCGAGUCGUGUAUGAACACAAACGCCUUCCUGUGGAGCUACGCCGCUCGCCUGGCAGUUCCAGGCGCUGCGGUCGAGUCGGAUGCGGCGAAGGAGACGGGCGCGGACGCCGUUCGGGCCGACGAGGAGGACGACGCCACGGAGCCGAGCCGCAAACGAGUUCGCGUGGAGGAAGGGGAGCCGAGCUGCGGACUGAAGGCGCUUCAGAGCGCCGGCGCCGAGCGAGUCGGGUCCGGAGCGGUCUUCUGGCGUUCGGGGUGGCGCUCCCGGCUGUGCCGCUGUGACGCCUGUCAGGCGAGUCUGUCGGCGGCGGGUCUCUCCUUCCUGCUGGACGAGUCGGACACGGUCCUGGCGUACGAGAAGAAAGGCGAGAGCGAAGAAGGCGGCGCUCCGGGUCACGACCCCCUCAUGUCGGCGCUGGACAACCUGAACCGCGUGCAGCAGCUGGAGAUCAUCCACGGGUACAACGACAUGAAGAGCGAGCUGAAGGACUUCCUGCAGGGAUUCGUCGCCGAAGGGAAGCAAGCGAAGACGACCGCCACAUUACAGAGCGAGCGCUGCCCGGCGUGACCACGGCCAGCGGAGCGGCGAUGAAGAAGGUCGUCCAGGGUUUUCUCGGCGGCGCCGAGCGGGUCCCGGCGAAGGCGGGCGCGGCCUUCGUCCACAGCAAACCUCCCAGGCAGCGCAUCGGAGCCGGGCAAAGUUUUUUGGUCAUGUCCGUGUUUGCGGUGGCCAUGUUGGCGCCGGCGGCGUGGAUCGUCCACCAUCUGCCCGAGUAUCGCCGCAGGAGCCGCCGGAAGCCCGCCGGCUGAAAGACGCGUCCGGCGAGCUCGACGUCCUCGUCCUCCCGCCGCGUUUCCCUUCACGUCAACGUCACAAUAAACGGAAACAAACCUCCGAAA